rnacentral:rRNA from 1 species
GAACUUAAGCAUAUCAAUAAGCGGAGGAAAAGAAACCAACAGGGAUUGCCUUAGUAACGGCGAGUGAAGCGGCAACAGCUCAAAUUUGAAAUCUGGCUCUUUUAGAGUCCGAGUUGUAAUUUGUAGAAGAUGCUUUGGGUGUAGCUCCGGUCUAAGUUCCUUGGAACAGGACGUCAUAGAGGGUGAGAAUCCCGUAUGUGACUGGGUGCUUUCGCUCGUGUAAAGCUCUUUCGACGAGUCGAGUUGUUUGGGAAUGCAGCUCAAAAUGGGUGGUAAAUUUCAUCUAAAGCUAAACAUUGGCCAGAGACCGAUAGCGCACAAGUAGAGUGAUCGAAAGAUGAAAAGCACUUUGGAAAGAGAGUUAAACAGUACGUGAAAUUGUUGAAAGGGAAGCGCUUGCAAUCAGACUUGCGCGCUGUUGAUCAUCCGAGCUUUUGCCCGGUGCACUCGGCAGCGUUCAGGCCAGCAUCGGUUUUGGUGGGCGGAUAAAGGCCUUGGGAAUGUAGCUUCUUUCGGGGAGUGUUAUAGCCCUCGGUGCAAUGCGCCCUACCAGGACCGAGGACCGCGCUUCGGCUAGGAUGCUGGCGUAAUGGUUGUAAGCGACCCGUCUUGAAACACGGACCAAGGAGUCUAACAUCUAUGCGAGUGUUUGGGUGUCAAACCCAUACGCGUAAUGAAAGUGAACGGAGGUGAGAACCCUUAAGGGUGCAUCAUCGACCGAUCCUGAUGUCUUCGGAUGGAUUUGAGUAAGAGCAUAGCUGUUGGGACCCGAAA